ensembl:lncRNA
AGAGAGAGACAGAGAGACAGAGAGAGAGAGAGAGAGACAGAGAGACAGAGAGAGUGAGAGAGACAGAGAGACACAGAGAGAAAGAGCGAGAGAGAAAGAGCGAGAGAAGAGCGAGAGAGAGAGAGAGACACACAGGGAGAAAGAGAGAUAGACGCACAGAGAGACACACACACAGAGAAAGAGAGCGCGAGAGACACAGAGAGAGAGACACACAGACAGAGAGAGACUCACACAGAGAGAGACACACACACACAGAGACACAGAGAGAGACAUAGAGAGACACAGAGAUACAGAAAGAGAGACAGAGACACAGAGUGAGAGACACACAGAGAGAGACAGAGAGAGACACAGAGAUACAUAGAGAGAGACACACCCAGAGAGAGACAGAUAGAGAGACACAGAGGGAGACACACAGAGAGAGACAUAGAGAGACACAGAGAUACAGAAAGAGAGACAGAGACACAGAGAGAGACAGAGAGAGAGACACAGGGAUACAUAGAGAGAGAGACACACAGAGAGAGACAGAGAGAGAGACACAGAGAGAGAGACAUAGAGAGACACAGAGAUACAGAAAGAGAGACAGAGACACAGAGAGAGACAGAGAGAGAGACACAGGGAUACAUAGAGAGAGACACACACAGAGAGAGACAGAGAGAGAGACACACAGAGAGAGACAUAGAGAGACACAGAGAUACAGAAAGAGAGACAGAGACACAGAGAGGGAGAACAGACACAGAGUGAGAGACACACAGAGAGAGACAGAGAGAGAGACACAGAGAUACAUAGAGAGAGACACACAGAGAGAGAUAGAUAGAGAGACACAGAGAGAGAGAGACAGAGAGAGAGACACACAGAGAUACAGAGAGAGAGACACACACAUAGAGAUACAGAGAGAGAGAGACACAGAGAGACACACAGAGAUACAUAGAGAGAGAGAUACACAGAGAGAGACAGAUAGAGAGACACAGAGAGAGAGACAGAGAGAGAGACACACAGAGAUACAUAGAGAGAGAGACACACACAGAGAGAUACAGAGAGAGAGAGACAGAGAGAGACACACAGAGAUACAUAGAGAGAGAGACACACACAGAGAGAUACAGAGAGAGAGAGACAGAGAGAGAGACAGAGAGAAAGGGGUGGGGGGACCGCAGUGCAAUCACUUAGCAUAACCUGUGAUCAAUAUAUUUACCACAGUGCUGUUCCUGAAUACGAUUGGUCAGAAGGGAUUUCUACUGCACAUAAACAUAUAUAUAUAUAAAAAAAAAGUGUGUAACUGUAGAUAUGGAAACGUUUUCUGUAAAGAGAUGUUUAAUAUUUAUGGAAGGAGUCUCCAGUGUCAGCGCUUUGUAACAGUCAGAGGUAAAGCUGUAAUUAAGCUUCGCAUCAUUCCAUCUCAAGUGGUCCAAUAAUUACAAAGUUGGCUGUUGACAGUUAUUUAUUUAUUUAUUUAUUUAUUGAGAAAAAAAAAAAACAUAAACCUCAAUAUCUCGGCUUAGGACGGGCCUGACUCCUUGGAACGAAACCUGAUCUCUAUAGCACAUUACAAAGGACCUGCAUAUAUAUAAACAUUUUGCCCAUUCGUGCUCCUUAGACUUACAACUUAAGUCCGAUCGUAAUGCUCAAGAUUGCUCACAGUUCCACUUUUAGGGUCAGUUUAUAUCGGGAAGCGUCCGAGUCUCGGAAUUAUAAGUAUAAAGAUGGCCGUCAUGGUUAAACCCAGUAAAAUAAAAUAAAAACAAGUGGUGAUUUUACAAUGCCAAUACACAGAGGUAAUCAAUUGGACCACUCGAGAUGGAACGACCCUUUUCUGACAUGUGAAAAGUCUUUCACGUGUACUUUCUGGUUUCUCGAUAGAAGUUGCCUUUUUUUAUCCCACGAACUUCAAUAGAGAGUAAAAAAAGAGACGCUGUUGAGGGAACGAUUGUUUACUGCUGCUAUGCUGUAGACCUUAAAAGGAACUUUAAAUUGAUCAAAUGCGUCGCUCUUCAGAAAACAGCAAUUGUACUCAGUAUAUGAGGAAUAAAACACUUGUUUUAGGAAAAUAAUCAACUUUAGGAUGACAACCGUAGCUCCGCAUCGCGUCCGCUUACAUCACACCAACCUAAAGCUGAUUAUUUCCCUGCAACAGAACACUUCAUCUGCUUGGUUGGGGCUGUAUGAUGGCUGCCAGGCAUGGUGUAAUGGAGUAUUUCCCCAAUCGUCUUCUUCUCCUCCUGUUCUCAAUGACAGUCUAACAGAAGUUGAAAUUUUCCCAAGUUAUCAACCAAACACACACUCAUUCACUCACUCACACACCCACACCCACACACACCCUGUCCUCAUUUCUUCUUUCUGUCACUUAUUUAAUUACUGUCUCGCUCCGGUUUCUCCGAUGACACCUUUUCCCUCCUUCCUGUUCAUAUCUUUCCAAGAAACUUUGAUCCAAACUAGGAAAAGAAACCUCUUUUUGAGGUUUAAAAAAAAAAAAAACCCUGAAAUACAUCAGAAAAACAUCACAUUGAGUGAGAGGUGUUGUUUUCGGCACGAUCAGUCAUGCCAGCACUCUGUGACUUGGCGAAUCACUGGCUGGGAAGUUGGAAAUUUUCAAAGUCGCUGUAGAACUGAUACGAUAGGAAGAUGACUUGUUGUCUGAAAGUUCCAGUGAGAUCCUAAACAGAAAGAUGAAGCCAGAAUCCUUAGUAAUUACUACCUACACUGCCUGGCUGAUCAUUGCCAUCUAUAAACAAUAUAUAAAGUUCUAAAUGUUUACAGUUAUGGCAUUUGGUAGACACCCUUAUCCAGAACAACUUACAUUUAUCUCAUUUUUAUACAACUGAGCAGUUGAGAGUUAAGGGCCUUGCUCGAAGGCCCAGCAGUGACAGCUUGGUGGGAUUUGAACUCAUGACCUUCCAAUGAGUAGUCCAAUGUCUUAAACACUGAGCUACCACUGUCCUUCUUGCACGUUCCCAACAGUUUGGUACUGGUUCUUUAUUAGUACCUAGAAUAAUAAAAGACUAGGCAAGCCUAGCUUAGCUGGACCGCCACCUGCCUAGGAAAUUCGAGAAGUUGUUUCUAUCACCGUAGCAACCAUGGCAAAACUGUAGCCCUUACAAAGCACCUGAGACAAAUCAGUUUUCUUGGAUAUCUUGGAUACGUCCAUUUACAAAAUCUUCUUUUUCAAAUUUCUCCCCCUUACAUUGCUUAAAUCACUUAUUGCUCGGUAAUGGGCAUUCUUUUAAAACAUAUUUUAAGUUACUGCUGGUUGCCAUGGUUUCCUUAGUAACACCAAGCUAGAACAAUAUGGCCACGUACCACGCUAGCCUGGUUACACACGAUUGUCUACCAUCUAGAUGCUAAAACAUAUGUAAAGCCAGGCAUUUCAAAAUCAGUAGACCUCUGGACGGAAAUGCUUGCGUUAGAAUGAGCUGAAGAACUAUUGCGCAUUGCGAUCUGCCACAUAAUGUACAGAAACACGGAAUUGUACCACCAACCACCGCAGCCGUUUGCUUAAAGUUCCACAUUGUGUCAGCACUGGUUAUAACGUUGCUCUUGGUGUUAAUGCAGUGUAAGAUCUACUCAUCCAUGGUAGUGCUGAAACUUCCUGGAACACUUUCGAGUUUAUUUACAGAUUGUUGUAUAACGCCACCUACACUUUGGAUGUCCUCUUUAUGUUUCAACAACAGGCUGUCAAUCAGAAAAUGCGCCUUCUAGCAUAGCGAUCGCAGCAGGUUGCAGAGCUGUUUCCUAGGAAUAACCUUCCUGUCUCAACAGCAGUGUUUUUAGUUGAGAUAAUCCUUCGUAAAGUUCCAGGUGCGGGAGUCCCUGAGUGCAUUAUGAUUACCAUUUACACCCUGUUUAAAGGAGUUUACUCUCUCAUCACACUUAACAAUCUGUUCUUUCUGCCUGUCUCUUGUCUUGGCGCCUGAUGUGAUCCUAGUGCAAGCCCACUGCUGUGGAUCCUCCUGCUCCUCCAUUUUCGAGCCAUUUGCAUGUGCAAUUAAUAAUCUUACCUGAAUGCCCCAAAGACUGUUCAGAAAACUUUUACCCAUUAUCAUCUCACACAUACUGUAACAUCUCAUAUAUCUCCUCUACAGUCUCAUUUAAUGUGGUGACAGUACACAACCAGAAGGACCAAGGGCAAGGCAAUAUAAUAUUGGCACUCACUGAUGCAAUCUGAGGCAACAUUGUUGAAUUCUUAAUGCUGAUUGGUCAGAAGAUGGAUCUGACAGUAGUUCCGGGUGCAAAUCAAAUUACAGGUUUAUAUUAAUGUGCUCGUUCUAAUACAGUAUGGUUUCUAUGGUAACGGCAUUCACAGAGACUAGCAUGGAAGUCGUUCUACGUGAACAGAUUUUUUUUCUUUAACAGUGUGUAAUCGUUGAAUGGUGACGUUUUCUACGAAGAGACGUUUAUUCAGCACUUAUGCAAGGAAUAUCCAGUGCCAGCACUUUAUACAGUAACAUCCAUCAACCCAUCCAUUCAUUUUCCAUACCACUUAUCCUACAUAGGGUCAAGUGGGAGCCUGGAGCCUAUUCCAGAGAACUCGGGGCACAAGGCAGGGGACACCCUGGGCAGGGCACAAUCAAACACUACAGACAAUUUGGAAAUGCCAAUCAGCCCUGGAGGUCUUUGGACUCGGGAGGGAAACUGGAGUACCCAGAGGAAACCCCCGAAGCACGGGGAGAACAUGCAAACUUCACGCAUAAAUGGCGGAGGCAGGAUUCGAACCCCAAACCGCGGAGGUGUGAGGCAAACCUGCUAACCACAUAGCAUUUCCAUGUCUCAAAGCUGCUUUACAGAAACAUAUAAACACAGGAUGGAGAUUUUAAAUGUGUGAAUUUAUCCCUUUUGAGCGAGCCGGUGGUGCCGGUGGUGAGGGAAAAACUCCCUGAGAUGAUAUGAGGAAGAAACCUUGAAAGGAACCGGACUCAGACGGGAACCCGUCCUCAUCUGGGUAACAACGGAUAGUGUGAAAUUAAAAGAAAGUUCAUUAUGGGUUUAUGAAGUCUGGUUGUUGAACUAGUCCACUGUUCACUAAAGGAGAGUGUAAAACUGCAUGUGGUAAUCGCAGUCCCAAGGCCAUCGCUGCAACCACAGCGAGAACGUCCAUGUGGAAUUGAGGUCCAAAACUAUCUCCAUGGUACUUCAAGCGGUACCGUCCUAAUCAAUCUCCAGGCUGUAGCCUCCAGUUGAUGAGAGCUCCAUCCAGACGUAGGGCAUCAGGAUGGAUCAGGCAGGUCCGGAGAGCAGAAAGGGUCAGGAUCACUGGCACCUCCAUAAAAUCAUAUGUGGCUCGACAGAAUUCGAGAAGGACAGGGAGGUCAAGAGAGGGAGAGAUUUACAUGUAACACUGUAUCACCUCAGUACUGCAAGUUAUUAUCACAAAUCCAGCUAUUUGUUGUCGUUUAGUGUCUGUUUCCCUGCAAGGUUUCUUCUUGAUGCCAUCACGGAAGAGUUUCUUCCUUUCAUCUUUGGUUGUUCGUUAGAAGUCGAAAUCCAUAUUUCUGUAAAGCUGCUUUGUGACAGUGUUAGAAAAUUAAACGUGCUAUUGAAUUUCGGGUCUCUUUCAUGUGUUACAUCAAAAAUUCACUACAGUCAUAUAGUGAUAUCGCCGUAGAUUUAUUUCUUCUGUAUUGUCCACAUCAAAUACCUUGAUUCCUGUGACUUUCAAGACGCCACGGUUACGACGUUACGACCAGGGAGCUGGCUUCUGUGUCCUUCAGGGCUGAUUGUAAUUGGUAUUUUACUCCUUGGGCCAUUAAAAAAAAACACACACACACCACAUUGUACGUAAUUGCUUUACAGUACCUCAUUGUUUGUGCCCCCAUGGCUUCAAGAACAAUAUUCCUUUUAGUUUUUUGAGCAGGAAAGACUAUCUAAAUAAAGUUUCAAAGACUUUUAGAUCAUUUCGAUCCAUACCAGUUUCUUGAAACGCUGUUUUAGAUGCUUUUCCCUGAUACAGACGACUGAAAAAAAGCUUCUGAACUGCAAUUUUACUGGCUUCUGGCUUCUAAUCGAUUUGCAAGGUUGUUUUUUUUUAUUGAUUUAUUUAUUUAUUUAGAUUUGUCCAAUCAACACUCCUGUCCCUCGAGCACUUCCCAAAGGAAAUGUAAGUUGUCCUGUGUUUAAAGACGUAGUUAUACAGUAUGUUUACCACAGUGGUGUUUGAUUCUUGAUUCUGAUUGGUCCGACGUUGCGAAUAUGCUCAUUCUAAUGUGCUACUGUUUCCAUAGUAACAACUUAGACAGGGACUUGUUUUUGGCAGGCGUUCGAUAUUGAUGUAUUUAAAAAUGCGAUGAAACAGGGGAAGGUGAAAUUCCCUGUAAGGAGAUUACACCACCCCAACGUGUUUUUAUUCUCCGCAUGCGUAUAUAAUCAUCUGUGCGCAGAGUGAAAUGCAGGACCGGACUAUCGGUAAAUCAGUUUUGCUGAAAUUGUCAGGAAGCUCUUCCUUCAUUUCACCCUGGCAAAAACAACAGGAAUAAUGCCUGAACAGAAGAACAGGGGAGGGCAGUGGGAGGGAGCGCGGUGUCAGGCCGAGCGAGAGAGGGAAAUUAGGCUGAUUACCAUUUCAGCGCACACACACUUUCAGAAAUGUCAACACUAAAAGUUUAGAGUCAAUAGAAUUUAAUUUAAAAGAGGUUGCCAAGUCCUGCUUUCGCACAGAAAUGGGAUACCUUUGUAGUAUUGCCGUAGGCUGUUUUGUUUUUUCCUUAUGUCAAUUUUCAGGAAACACAAUACGCUCACGUAGGUGCACUAUAAACACUAUACGCUCACGUAGGUGCACUAUAAACACUAUACGCUCACGUAGGUGCACUAUAAACACUAUACGCUCACGUAGGUGCACUAUAAACACUAUACGCUCACGUAGGUGCAGUAUAAACACUAUACGCUCACGUAGGUGCAGUAUAAACACUAUACGCUCACGUAGGUGCACUAUAAACACUAUACGCUCACGUAGGUGCAGUAUAAACACUAUACGCUCACGUAGGUGCACUAUAAACACUAUACGCUCACGUAGGUGCGCUAUAAACACUAUACGCUCACGUAGGUGCACUAUAAACACUAUACGCUCAUGUAGGUGCACUAUAAACACUAUACGCUCACGUAGGUGCACUAUAAACACUAUACGCUCACGUAGGUGCACUAUAAACACUAUACGCUCACGUAGGUGCACUAUAAACACUGCCAGAGGUCUAUUUUGCAUUGAAUCAGCACACACACACGCUUCAAACAUUCUUACUGAUGGGUAUUAAAAACUUACAGUCGCAUUAGAUAGGCGAGAGACCAGCACACUGUCUGAAUUACAGGAGGUGACUAUGGGGGUCAUUCGUUCCGUGGGGCAGUUUAUAAAAUGCCACUGAUGUUAAAUGUUUCACUUCCUCCCUCCCUUACGCUUAUUAAACCUCAGCCAUCGCUUCAGGACACAAAAAGUCAGACUGCCAGAGAGAUGAUGACUUUCUCUCUUCUUCUUUCCCGCGUCUCUCUCCAAAUCCUCUCCGUGACCCGGCCAGUGACUCUCUAAUCGACUCCUGACUGCUUUCCAGUCCAUUUGCAUUCUCUCUGACUCGACACAGAGGCUGUACUAAAGUCUAUGAAGACCCACACUCAGACGUUGUGCCAAGUCGAAUGAAAAUGUGAACUUUCUGAGCGGUUUUGAGGCGACGUGACGCCCGUCUGCUGUAAAUAAGACUCUGAGCGUAAUUAUGUAGUCGUUAAUGAAAAAUGAUGCGUAGAUAACAGUCGAUUAUGCGAGUACAGAAGAGUGGAGCAGAUUUACUUGUAUCAAAUCCGGCAGCAAAAGGAUGCCAGAGCCAGAGGUGAUAUAAAUCAGGGAAAGGCCAAGAUGAAAUUGUAAAGGGGUGCAAAAUUACUAAUAGGACCAGAGAGGCAAGCUGGGAUUUGACCCAGGAAUUUUGGAGUGACUUGUUCAUGAACUUAUCACUUUGUAGGGUUGGCCACAUGACUCCACCUAACUCCACCUGACUCCACAUGACACCCCAUGACUCCCCAUGACCACUUAACUCCACAUGACUCUACAUGACUCCCCAUGACUCUACAUGACUCCACCUGACUCUACAUGUCUCCCCAUGACUCCCCAUGACUCCACCUGACUCCACAUGACUCCACAUGUCUCCACAUGUCCCUACAUGACUCCACCUGACUCCACAUGACUCCACAUGACUCCACAUGUCUCCACAUGUCCCUACAUGACUCCACCUGACUCCACAUGACUCCCCAUGUCUCCCCAUGACUCCACCUGACUCCACAUGACUCCACAUGACUCC